AUACCAACUUCAUCUCUCUUUAAGAAUACAAUAUUAGUUUAAAAGAUUGUUCAACUUAAAGCAAUCUUGUAGAGAUUGUCACCCAUGAUUGAUGCUGGGUGGAAGAGUAAACUGUUCCUGUUUCUCCAUCUUGACAGGAAGCAGAAGUUCUCCUUAGCUGAUUUUUCUUCUUGCCUUAUACUGGGUUCUUUAACACCAGAACAAAAAUAAAUAAAUAAAAGAAUCUUCCAGAAAUUCAUGAAGAGACUUCAGGUCAGGAAAGCCUGAACUUUCUCAUCCAACACCCGUUCAAGUCGGAGGAUGCUGAUUAAUUCAUGAUGGAAAGGUAUCAAUUUCACAGCCCAGACCUCUACAUUCUUGAAAUGCUCUUCUCAUGGGAGACAUUAAAUAAGCUUUGAAUUAACUGAGACCUCUGUGGAUUCUAUAACUCAAAGACCCAGGCUGACGGCUGGUGGAAUAGCUACCAUCUCAAACAUGGCGUGAUGCUGCAUCAGAGAGAAAAAUAAGCUCUUGCAUUGACAAUGAAAUGUCUACCCUGUAGUGACUUGUGCUUACUUCCACUCACAAGUGAUUGCCCAGAGCUACUUACCUGGCUCCAAUCUACCACUGGGUGUGUACUUGCAAUCUACCAUGUACCUAGAAGAUGAGAGAAACAAAUUAUUAAUGAUGACCACACCCCAAUACUAACAACAAUUGCAGAAGAAUCAAUGACUUAAACAAAAAUGUGGCCAUUGAAGGAAUAGAAAAUAUAGUGAGUUUAGUGUAAAUUUAAAAGU
rnacentral:lncRNA from 1 species